AAAGCCCGCAAGGGUGAGUAAAGCGGCGAACGGGUGAGUAAUACUUGGGUAACGUUCCUUUAAGAUUGGGAUAACGCGCCGAAAGGCGUGCUAAUACCGAAUAAGACCACGGAUUCUGCGGAAUCUGAGGUCAAAGAUGGCCUCUAUUUAUAAGCUAUCACUUGGAGAUCGGCUCAAGCACCAUUAGCUAGUUGGCGGGGUAAUGGCCCACCAAGGCUACGAUGGUUAGCCGGCCUGAGAGGGUGAUCGGCCACACUGGGACUGAGAUACGGCCCAGACUCCUACGGGAGGCAGCAGUUUGGAAUAUUCCACAAUGGGCGCAAGCCUGAUGGAGCGACACCGCGUGAAGGACGAAGGUCUUCGGAUUGUAAACUUCUUUAGACCUAGAUGAAGACUUCAGGGCGAACAGUCCUGAAGUUUGACAGUAUAGGUAGAAUAAGCCACGGCUAACUCUGUGCCAGCAGCCGCGGUAAUACAGAGGUGGCAAACGUUGUCCGGAUUUAUUGGGUGUAAAGGGCAUGUAGGUGGUUCUAUAAGUCAAAGGUGAAAUGGCCCGGCUCAACCAGGUCAUUGCCUUUGAAACUGCAGAACUUGAGUACGGAAGAGGAAAGCGGAAUUCCCAGUGUAGCGGUGAAAUGCGUAGAUAUUGGGAGGAACACCGGUGGCGAAGGCGGCUUUCUGGUCCGAAACUGACACUGAGAUGCGAAAGCCAGGGGAGCAAACGGGAUUAGAUACCCCGGUAGUCCUGGCCGUAAACGAUGAGAACUAGGUGUUAGAGGUAUCCACUCCUCU
rnacentral:rRNA from 1 species